CGCAUGGACAGACAAACAAAUUUUUAAAAACUGGUUUUUUAGUGAAUUUGUUCCUGAAACCAAAAAGUUUUUGAAGAAAAGCAACCUACCCUCUAAAGCUAUCUUAACACUUGAUAACGCAGGAUCACACCCAGAUGAAGGGAACUGCAAUGCGAUGGCAUACGCACGAUGUUUUUGCCACCGAACGUGACCAGCCUCAUUCAGCCUAUGGACCAAGGCGUACUUGAAACUUUGAAAAAAAAAAAAAAAAUACAGACGCU